GGGGCAUGUGAUAAUUUGCCGUAGACAGCAGGUAUCCGGACGGAUAUAAGGCUAAGUACACCUGCCGAGGGAUAAUAUAAGUAUCAGACUUAUGUGUGCUCUCCGGCUUCGGAGGGCUUUUUUCUUAUAUUA
rfam:Firmicutes bacterium CAG:882 genomic scaffold, scf31